GGGAACCCGCUGAACUGAAACAUCUAAGUAGGCGGAGGAAGAGAAAACAACAGUGAUUCCGAAAGUAGUGGCGAGCGAAAUCGGAAGAGCCCAAACCAAGGUGCGUGCACCUUGGGGUUCGGACCGCAUUUAGUUCCGUAAGUGAGUGGAAGACGAUGGAAAGCGUUGCCAUAGAGGGUGAAAGCCCCUUACACGAAGCGUAAAGGAAUGAGCGGAAUCCAGAGUACUGUCAGACACGUGGAACCUGGCAGGAAUACGGGGGGACCACCCCCUAAGGCUAAAUACUACUCAGUGACCGAUAGCGAUUAGUACUGUGAAGGAAAGGUGAAAAGGACCCCGGGAGGGGAGUGAAAGAGAACCUGAAACCCUGUGUUUACAAACUGUGGAACAGCGCAAGCUGAACCGCGUACUUUUUGUAGAACGGUCCGGCGAGUUAUAGUUACUGGCAAGGUUAAGGACUUAAGGUCCGGAGCCGAAGCGAGAGCGAGUCUGAAUAGGGCGCAAAGUCAGUAGAUAUAGACCCGAAACCGGGUGACCUAUCCAUGUCCAGGAUGAAGCUAAAGUAAAAUUUGGUGGAGGUCCGAACGCACAUCCGUUGAAAAGGGUGGCGAUGAGGUGUGGAUAGCGGAGAAAUUCCAAUCGAACCCGGAGAUAGCUGGUUCUCCUCGAAAUAGCUUUAGGGCUAGCCUCGCUGUAAGUCUUUCGCAGGUAGAGCACUGAAUUCUUGAGGGGGCGUCAAAGUCUACCAAGAGAUAUCAAACUCCGAAUGGCGGUAAGAUAUAAGCGGGAGUCAGACUGCGGGAUAUAAAUUCCGUAGUCAAAAGGGAAACAGCCCAGAUCUACAGCUAAGGUCCCAAAGUACAUGUUAAGUGGUAAAGGAUGUGGGAUUUCAUAGACAACUAGGAUGUUGGCUUAGAAGCAGCCACACAUUCAAAGAGUGCGUAAUAGCUCACUAGUCGAGAGGUCCUGCGCCGAAAAUUAACGGGGCUAAAACAUGACACCGAAGCUUAGGGAUGGUGUAAACCAUCGGUAGAGGAGCAUUGAAAACACGUAGAAGCGGUACCGUAAGGAGCCGUGGAGAGUUUUGAAGAGAGAAUGCCGGAAUGAGUAGCGAGAUGGAGGUGAGAAUCCUCCAGGCCGAAUAUCUAAGGUUUCCAGGGUAAAGCUGAUCUGCCCUGGGUAAGUCGGGGCCUAAGGCGAGGCUGAGAAGCGUAGUCGAUGGACAACUGGUGUAGAUUCCAGUACCUUACUAAAUCAGAAAUGUGGGGACACAUGGAGAAAGAGAGAGCCGGGAAUGAGAAGACCGGUGCAAGGGAGGUAGGAGUGUAGUAGGAAAAACCGCUACACAAUCUGAAGACCUGAUGCGGAUCGAAAAGAAGUAGAGAAGCUCUUGGACUCUGUGGCGAGAAAAGCCGCUAUUGUGUUUAGUAAGCCCGUACCGCAAACCGACACAGGUAGAUGAGGAGAGAAUCCUAAGGCCGGCGGGAGAAGCAUUGUUAAGGAACUCGGCAAAAUGACCCCGUAACUUCGGGAGAAGGGGUGCCCAGGCAACUGGGCCGCAGAGAAAAGGCUCAAGCAACUGUUUAGCAAAAACACAGGUCUAUGCGAAACCGUAAGGUAAAGUAUAUGGGCUGACGCCUGCCCGGUGCUGGAAGGUUAAGAGGAGAGGUUAGCGCAAGCGAAGCUUUGAAUUGAAGCCCCAGUAAACGGCGGCCGUAACUAUAACGGUCCUAAGGUAGCGAAAUUCCUUGUCGGGUAAGUUCCGACCCGCACGAAAGGCGUAAUGAUUUGAGCGCUGUCUCAACAAUGCACCCGGUGAAAUUGAAGUACCAGUGAAGAUGCUGGUUACCCGCGCCAGGACGGAAAGACCCCAUGGAGCUUUACUCCAGCUUGAUACUGGGAUUCGGUAAUGUAUGCACAGGAUAGGUGGGAGACGAAGAAGAUAGAACUUCGGUUUUAUCAGAGUCGCUGUUGGGAUACCACCCUUAUGUUAUUGGAUUUCUAACCUUAGGCCGUAAGCCGGUCAAGGGACAAUGUCAGGUGGGGAGUUUGACUGGGGCGGUCGCCUCCGAAAGUGUAUCGGAGGCGCUCAAAGGUUCCCUCAGGAUGGUUGGAAACCAUCCAAAGAGUG
rnacentral:rRNA from 1 species